UACGUAGGGAGCGAGCGUUAAUCGGAAUUACUGGGCGUAAAGCGUGUGCAGGCGGUCCGCUAAGUCUGAUGUGAAAGCCCCGGGCUCAACCUGGGAACUGCAUUGGAAACUAACGGGCUCGAGUGUGGCGGAGGGGGGUGGAAUUCCACGUGUAGCAGUGAAAUGCGUAGAGAUGUGGAGGAACACCGAUGGCGAAGGCAGCCCCCUGGGCUAACACUGACGCUGAUGCGCGAAAGCCAGGGGAGCGAACGGG
rnacentral:rRNA from 1 species